rnacentral:ncRNA from 1 species
GCGCGGGGACGACCCCUCGCAUCUUCCAUCGCGGGGACGGCCCUG